rnacentral:rRNA from 1 species
AGACCCGAAACCCGGUGAUCUAGCCAUGGGCAGGUUGAAGGUUGGGUAACACUAACUGGAGGACCGAACCGACUAAUGUUGAAAAAUUAGCGGAUGACCUGUGGCUGGGGGUGAAAGGCCAAUCAAACCGGGAGAUAGCUGGUUCUCCCCGAAAGCUAUUUAGGUAGCGCCUCGUGAAUUCAUCUCCGGGGGUAGAGCACUGUUUCGGCCAGGGGGCCAUCCCGGCUUACCAAUCCGAUGCAAACUGCGAAUACCGGAGAAUGUUAUCACGGGAGACACACGGCGGGUGCUAACGUCCGUCGUGAAGAGGGAAACAACCCAGACCGCCAGCUAAGGUCCCAAAGUCAUGGUUAAGUGGGAAACGAUGUGGGAAGGCCCAGACAGCCAGGAUGUUGGCUUAGAAGCAGCCAUCAUUUAAAGAAAGCGUAAUAGCUCACUGGUCGAGUCGGCCUGCGCGGAAGAUGUAACGGGGCUAAACCAUGCACCGAAGCUGCGGCAGCGACACUGAUGUGUUGUUGGGUAGGGGAGCGUUCUGUAAGCCGUUGAAGGUGUGUCGUGAGGCAUGCUGGAGGUAUCAGAAGUGCGAAUGCUGACAUAAGUAACGAUAAAGCGGGUGAAAAGCCCGCUCGCCGGAAGACCAAGGGUUCCUGUCCAACGUUAAUCGGGGCAGGGUGAGUCGACCCCUAAGGCGAGGCCGAAAGGCGUAGUCGAUGGGAAACGGGUUAAUAUUCCCGUACUUGGUGUUACUGCGAAGGGGGGACGGAGAAGGCUAUGUUGGCCGGGCGACGGUUGUCCCGGUUUAAGCGUGUAGGUGUGUGUUCCAGGUAAAUCCGGUU